UACGUAGGGUGCAAGCGUUGUCCGGAAUUAUUGGGCGUAAAGAGCUCGUAGGCGGUCUGUCGCGUCUGCUGUGAAAACUCGGGGCUUAACCCCGGGCCUGCAGUGGGUACGGGCAGACUAGAGUGCGGUAGGGGAGACUGGAAUUCCUGGUGUAGCGGUGAAAUGCGCAGAUAUCAGGAGGAACACCGAUGGCGAAGGCAGGUCUCUGGGCCACUACUGACGCUGAGAAGCGAAAGCGUGGGGAGCGAACAGG
rnacentral:rRNA from 1 species